rnacentral:rRNA from 1 species
CCCGGUGGAGUUUCGUCUUUAAACGGUUGCUGUUUAGAGCAGUACGAAGGUAGCGCAGUAAAUCGUCCUUUGAUUUGGGAAUAGUAUGAAUGGCUUGACGUGAGGAGGUCUGUCUCGGACUCAUUUGUUGAUGUUUACUUCUGUGUGAAAAGGCUCAGAUUUUUUCAUUAGACGAGAAGACCCCUUCGAGCUUGAUGGGGGCUGGGGUAUCAUUCUUAGUUCGAAGUUUAGUUGGGGUGACUGGAUGCAGAAUUAACGCAUCUGAAGUAUUAGGUGUGAAGAUCCUCUAUUAGGGACAUGAAGAAAAAGCUACCGUGGGGAUAACAGCGUAAUGUCCUUGGAAAGGUCUUAUUGAAGAGGGGUGUUGCGACCUCGAUGUUGAAUUAGGGUUUCGUCUUGGCGCAGCCGUUGAGAUAGUGGGACUGUUCGUCCUUUAAAAUUCUACGUGAUCUGA